GUUGCGCUAAGUUAACAGACUAAGUGUUUUCAAAACACUCAGUGGCCAGAGGGCCGCGCGAUG
rnacentral:tRNA from 1 species